AUGUACAAGUGGGCCACUGAAAUGCCCAACAAAACCCUUUCCAAGAAGGCUUGGUUCAGAACAGAGAUAAACAAUGAACGAAGAUGGAAGGAGAAGACGACAUUCAGAAUGAUGCAUAUGAUAAGAGAGCGGAGCAAUCCUUUGGGAGAACAAUGGCUGAUGCCUGAGGCUGAUGUGGAACGGGCCAAAAGUAUUGACUUUUUUCCCUCUCGUAAUGCAUCUCAUUUUCCCAUCCAUCUUUUGUUGAACACCUUUCCUUCCCGACCGUCAUCAAUUUCUCUAUCCUCGAUUCCUCGCUGCG
rnacentral:lncRNA from 13 species